CAGGCUCUCUCUGAUAGGACAACUUUGAUUGCCUUCCUAGAGCACUCUGAGGAAGUGGAGGAAAAGCAACAAUAUUGCAGGUUUCCCAUUUCUGAAGACCUGAGCCCCACGAUACAGUGAUAAGCUCUCCACACUCUGAAUGGAGACCUCAUCCCGUGGCCUAAUUCUGAGAGAGAACAAUCCCUUAGAUAUAGAUAUCCUUCUACAAUCUCACACCACAAAAUCUACCAGCCUUUCCGCCUGCCCCACUGCACAGGCUGACUUUUCACUUCUGCAGGAGAUCCCAGACCUCCACGAAAAAGAAGAAAGAAAAAGAGGAGUAAAGGAAAGAAGAAAGAUGAGGAAACUGAGGUACUGAGGAAUUACUGACCACCAAGAGUUGAGCAGAGACAAAGGAUUCCCUACAUGUUCAAGAGGGCCUGCUGAUACCUGGACUGGGGAUUUCUAGCCUGCAGACUGAGAAUAAAUUUCAGUUAUCUUAAGACAA